rnacentral:tRNA from 1 species
GGCUGAGUGGUAAAGCGCUUGUCUUCCGAACAAAGGGGUAUCGGGUUCGAUUCUCGA